rnacentral:rRNA from 1 species
GGGGAAUUUUGGACAAUGGGCGCAAGCCUGAUCCAGCCAUUCCGCGUGAGUGAAGAAGGCCUUCGGGUUGUAAAGCUCUUUCGCAAGGGAAGAAAACUUAUCCUCUAACAUAGGAUGAGGUUGACGGUACCUUGAUAAGAAGCACCAGCUAACUACGUGCCAGCAGCCGCGGUAAUACGUAGGGUGCGAGCGUUAAUCGGAAUUACUGGGCGUAAAGCGUGCGCAGGCUGUUUUGUAAGUCAGAUGUGAAAUCCCCGAGCUCAACUUGGGAACUGCGUUUGAAACUACAAGACUAGAAUAGGUCAGAGGGGGGUAGAAUUCCACGUGUAGCAGUGAAAUGCGUAGAGAUGUGGAGGAAUAUCAAUGGCAAAGGCAGCCCCCUGGGAUCAUAGUGACGCUCAUGCACGAAAGCGUGGGGAGCAAAC